rnacentral:rRNA from 1 species
AGUUCGAUCAUGGCUCAGAUUGGUUCAUGGAUGCUUUACACAUGCAAGUCGAACGGCAGCACGGACUUCGAGUCUGGCGGCGAGUGGUGAACGGGGUGAGAAGGACGAACGUGUGCCUAGUAGCGGGUGGAUAAUCACAAGCAAGCGUAGCCCAAUACCGUAUACGCUCUUCGGGGAAAGCGGGGACCUUCGUGCCCCGCACUAUUAGAGCGGCCGAUAUCGGAUUAGCUAGUUGGUGGUAAAACGCUCACCAAGGCGACGAUCCGUAGCUGGUUUGAGAGGACGACCAGCCACAUCUGGGACUGGAGACACGGCCCAGACUCCUACGGAGGCAGCAGUGGGAAUUUUUGGACAAUGGGGAAACCCUGAUCCAGCCAUCCCGCGUGCGAUGAAGGCCUUCGGGGUUGUAAAGCACUUUUGGCAGGAAAGAAACGGCAUGAUACGUCCCGUGCAACUGACGGUACCUGCAGAAUAAGCACCGGCCAACUACGUGCCAGCAGCCGCAAUACGUAGGGCGCAAGCGUUAAUCGGAAUUACUGGGCGUAAAGCGUGCGCAGGUUCGGAAAGAAAGAUGUGAAAUCCCAGAGCUUAACUUUGGAACUGCAUUUUCUUUAACUACCGAGCGAUGCGUCAGAGGCAGCGGAAUUCGCGUAGUGGCGGAAAUGCGUAGAUAUGCGGAGAACACCGAUGGCGAAGGCAGCCUCCUGGGGGAUAAUACCGGACGCCCAUGCACGAAAGCGAAGAGCAAACAGAUUAGAUACCCCGGUGUCCACGCCUAAACGACAAAUUAGGCUGCUGGGGCUUUCGGGCCUUGGUAGCAAAGCAACGGCGGUGAAGUUGACCGCCUGGGAGUACGGCCUGAUUAAAAACCCGUGAACUGACGGGGACCUGCACAAGCGGUGGAUGAUGUGGAUUAAUUGAUGCAACGCGAAAACCUUACCUACCCUAUUAUGUCUGGAAUCCCGAAGAGAUUUGGGGAGUACGGCAAGAGAACCGGAACAUAGGUGCUGCAUGGCUGUCGUCAGCUCGUGUCGAGAUGUUGGGUUAAGUCCCGCAACGAGCGCAACCCUUGUCAUUAGUUGCUACGAAAGGGCACUCUUAAUGAGACUGCCGGUGACAAACCGAGGAAGGUGGGGAUGACGUCAAAGUCCUCAUGGCCCUUAUGGGUAGGGCUUCACACGUCAUACAUCGGAGUCGGGACAGAGGGUCGCCAACCCGCGAGGGGGAGCCAUCCCCAGAAACCCGAUCGGUAGUCCGGAUCGCAGUCUGCAACUGACUGCGUGAAGUCGGAACUGCUAGUAAUCGCGGAUCAGCAUGUCGCGGUGAAUAUGCCCCGGUCUUGUUACCACCGCCCGUCACACCAUGGGAGUGGGUUUACCAGAAGUAGUUAGCCUAACCGUAAGGAGGGCGAUUACCACGGUAGGAUUCAUGACUGGGUGAAGUCGUAACAAGGCAA